UCAGGCCGCUGGCUGGCUCAGAGGUCUAAGCAGAGCAGAGAUGACUUCAUUCGUGCUGGGGAGUUAACACAGCUGGCAGAGCGCAGGGCAGACACGCCUGAGGUCCCGGUUCAAGGUCUGGCUCUCCGUGGGCCAGAGUGACGCUCUCCUCUUUCAGCUCCAGCGAUCCCUUCUUGAAAAGACUAGAGCGAGAGGCAGGAAGAACAUGGAAGAGACCACAUCAUCAGAUCCGCUGAAGCUUCCUCCUUUCCAUGCGGUGGGGCCCUGAUUGGAACCCGGGUCCAGCUCAUGGCCAAGCAGUGCACUGCCCAAGUCCUCCACUCUCCUCAUAUUACAGGAAUACAUAUUGCAGUCCUUCUGACGCCCAGCUCCAGAUGCAAGGCCCAGCUGUUUUUCAAG